rnacentral:tRNA from 1 species
AGCUCAGUUGGUAGAGCGCUGCCUUUGCAAGGCAGAUGUCAGGAGUUCGAACCUUAUC